UACGUAGGUGGCAAGCGUUGUCCGGAAUUAUUGGGCGUAAAGCGCGCGCAGGCGGUUCUUUUAGUCUGAUGUGAAAGCCCACGGCUCAACCGUGGGGGGUCAUUGGAAACUGGAGAACUUGAGUACAGAAGAGGAAAGCGGAAUUCCACGUGUAGCGGUGAAAUGCGUAGAGAUGUGGAGGAACACCAGUGGCGAAGGCGGCUUUCUGGUCUGUAACUGACGCUGAGGCGCGAAAGCGUGGGGAGCAAACAGG
rnacentral:rRNA from 1 species